GUCUAUUGCCAUGACUAUUCAGUUUAGGAGUGGAGAUGCAAAAGACAAUUAUUCUUCAUUAAUAGCAGUUACUAUUCACUGGAUGGGAUUAAAUUGCCUAUUGCCAUAGGGAGCCCUUACACAUUGGAAUUGCUCUAAGGGAUAGCGAGUUCCUCCUCGAUGAACUCUGGAUUUUUCGAUUCUUUGAAAAAGAAGAAGACUGAGAAAGAGAAGAGGCUAUGACUAUAAGAGUGAGACAGAGGAAUUCGCAGAGAUUGGGAAGGAGAGAAUCCAAAGAGAUCAAGGAUGUAGUUUAGUGUUACCAUUUACCAAGUCUGAAAGGGGAUAACACGACGCCGUUUCAAAAGUAAUAGGAAUAUUAAUAAAUAAUUAAUAGGUAUAUUUUAAAACGACGUUGGUUUGCAUCAUUUUGGUUUCGUUCGGCUUCUGAACCUUAAAAACUGAAGCCGAACCAACCAGAUUUGGUUAGGUUCGGUUUAACAGCUUCGUUUCGUUUUUUUUUGGACCUCGGUUUGGUUUUUGGUCUUUUUUUAUUUUUUUACCAGCCCACCCCUACCUAAAAGGGUGUAUUUCUACUAGUCGAGGGUAUGACCUUUCUAGGAUAGUAGAAUCCUUAUUAAAUCGGGACAAUGACAGAGGAUAUCUAGGAAGUAGAUAUUGCAUCAUCUUAGGAGUGUGAUUACUCGCGGCAGAUGCCAAUCCUUAGAUUGUAAGGACUCCAAGAUUAUAGGAAACCGUUGUUUCCUUUCUGGAUUAGGUGUCCAUAUCUUCAGAAUAAACAUGGUCAAUCUCAAAGAAGUCGACAGACUUCGUCCAUUGGUUCCGGAAUAGAAUAAUAGUGGCAUCAUUGCUUCAUUUAUUCAACUCUGCAUUGAAGGCUGUCGAAUCUAUAACCGGGCUUCUGAAAUGCGUAUUCCACUGACUAUAUUGCAACUUCCGAAAUGCUUGUAGAUCCACUAAAGAAGCCAUUGCCAAACAUGAUUUUUCAUAAGCAUGUUGCAGAUAUGAUAUUGGUUUUGAGUUUUGAGGCAAGAAGUAUGCGGGAGUGAAGUCGUGUUUUAAUCUCAACAUGUUUCCAAUUAAUUUUAAUUUUUCUUUUGGAUGUGGACUCGGUCAUGGUUUAAUUAUUGGAUGUGGACUCGGUUCUGAAUGUUAAAGUUUAGUUAUGUAUGGAAUUCGUUCGGUUUUUAUGCGUAAGAUUCCGUAUUUUUAGAAUUUAUUGUGGAUAUUAUUUAUUUAUGUUUGCCAAGUUUACCUGGUUCCUAUGUUUACUUUUCCAGCUAGGAUAACACGUGGUACUUGAGUGGAGUGAUAGGUUGAGGUGGCAGAAUAUAAGGGUAAGUGGCAUAAAUAUUACAUGCAAAUAGGAGCUGUGGUUGAUCAAGUGGUUAGACAAUAGCUUGAGCUGUUCAUUUGUGGGAGACAAUUAUCUAAAGUUAGAGAUAUGCCUACCAGGUGGAACUAGCCGCACUAAUCAUCCAAUCAGAGGCAUUUAGUUACCGUCCUUUUUAACUAUAAAUAGGAGCUUCGCUCCAUUGUUUUUGGAAAUGAGGCAGCAUGCAGCAUGUGAGCUCUCGUAGGAGAGAGAAAUGGAGAUAGCAUGCAUUACUUAGAGAGAUUAGUACAUAUAUAUAUAUAUAUAUAUACACACACACAUACAUACAUAUAUACAUACUUGUGUGUGUAUAUAUGUUAGAGAGAGAGAGAGAGAGAGAGAGAGAGAGAGAGAGAGAGAGAGAGAGAGAGAGAGAGAGAGAGAGAGAGAGAGAGAGAGAGAGAGAUUUAGGAAAGAAAAGAGAGUGAAAGAAAGAUAUAUAUGGUGUUAGGAGCGAUCAAGGAGCUUCUUCAAAUACGUGGAAUUUAGCUAUUUUGGUAGUGAUGUGGAUAAGUACGUGGAGCUUAGCUAUUGCAGUAGUGACGUGGAUCUUCAUUUUAGUUUUGGAAUCGAGGUAGGGGAAAUAAGGCAAACCUUUAUGGAAAUUGAUUUUAUUAAAUUUCGUGAAGUGUUAUAAUAUUCUUGAUCUUUUUGGUUGAUUAAUGUGGUUGGAUAUUAAUUGGCUAAUUGCUUCAAGUAAGUGUUUACUUGUUAUUGGUUAUGGAAUUAUUACUGGAAUGAUAUUCGUUGAGAAUAUAUUGUGAUACAUGUGAAAGAUGAAAUGACAUUAUUUGUGCAUCACUCAUGUUGUGAGAUGUGGUUCGAACUUCAAUGUUGAGAUUGGAAUUCUGGAAAUGAGGGUAGUUGGAAAGGAUCUUUUAUGUAGUUGAAUCUAUUCAUUGUGAUACCAGUUCCAGGCGAGCCUGUUGUGCAUAUUAGAAUAGGAUAUUGAUGGGAUAAAUUGUCGAUGUGGGUGAUUUGGGCUGGAGAUCAAUGAAUUAGAUAAGAUGACUAGCAAAAGGGGUUUACGAACUUGGGAUAUCAUAUAGGGGUUAGUUUUUAUAAUACAAGAUUUGAACCACCACUGCAGUGGUAAAAUGCAUGGUAUGGGACGUGCAGGUUCGCGUGUUUUAUUAUUUAAAUUAAUAGGGGUAGCCAAAGAGGUUGCACUGCAUUCAUGCAGUGUUAUCAAUAAUGAUUAGAUAUUUUGCUAUAUGAUUUCAUGGCACUUAAUUUAGUAUUAUCAAUUUACUGUAGUAAGGUUAUGUCCCUACUAAGCUGUUGAAUAAGCUCAUCUCUCUAUUGUUAUGCAGGUUGACGAACUAGACAUUCAAGAGAGUAGGCAAGAUGAGAUUAGAUUAGAUAUGAGAAUAGAAAGCUUAUUCAUCUAUUUAUUGUAGGUUGUAAAGAAUUCUUGAAUUGUUUAAGAAUCAUGAGUUAUUUUUAUAAGAGAAACUUAUUUUCCAACCCGUUUAAAUUUCCUUUUGAUUAUUUAGUUUUAAUUCACGUUUCGGAUUCGGAUUUGAGUUUUUAUUACCGACUUGGGUUCUGGGUGUGACAUUAUGGUUAUAAAAUGUUUUAUUUGACAACAUGAGUAUUUAUUUGCUGUAAAGUUAUAGUGCACAAAUUCAUGUUAGAACAACGUUUGUUUCAGUUGUCUUAUAAGGUUUAGGUUAUAACUAUCUCGUGCAAUUAUAAAGAUUUGUUAAAAGCAAGCAGUAAACGAAUAGUUGUUUACUCAAGGAGGACCAAAGUGAUUUUGCCACAAAUAUUCAAAUUAAGGAAUGCCAAUCAUCUUGUUAUUACUAAGUCCAAUACAGUUUAUGUGGAUAAUUAAGAUUCUUGUUUGCGUGAUUGUAAAGGUUAAGAGCACAUAUGUUUGUUCUUAAACUCGACAAUGUCAAGCAAGUGGUCUUAUUUGACAUAGUUCAGGGAACUAUAUAGCACUAAUAAACUCAAAGAGACCAUUAAAGUAAGCCUGUUUGUUUUGAUCAUACAACUAUUUAACCGUGAGAGAAUGUUGGAGUCAAACAUUAAGGUCCAAGCCUAAUUGGUUUACAUGGUUGUAUCCAGAAUAAAGUAGAGUUGGGGUUUUAAUUAGUUAGCUAUUCCUUGUGCCACAAGGAAGAAUUAAACUCAGAUUACCUUUUAUUGGUUAAGGGGUUCUUGUGUGCAAGAAGGCAAUUCCAUGGGUUUUAGUAUUCUAGUUAUGGGCUCAUUACAGUUUCUAGAAUUUGUUAGUAGGUAGGAUUUUAGGGACGCGGAGCUUAUGUAAGUUUGAGGUCUCUUUGCACGCUACUCAUCAGUUUAUUGUAUAAGGAGCCGCAGUGCAUACAUAGACGUGCUUUAAGCUAUCGCUGAAGAAAGUUGAGGUUCCACUAUAAAAUCAAUUGGUAAUAUUAGGAGUAGCUCAAUCUCUUAUAAGCCCAUGCAAGGUCCAUCCUCCCAUCAAUGUGGGACUCAUUCUCAACAAGCCCCCUCAAGUGUGGUGAAUUUUCAAGCCUAACACAUGGACAAUACAACGGAGUGAUGUGGAGUGCGUGUGGCCAUUUGGCUUUAUACGUGGGACAACCUUCUUUGAUACCAUGAAGAAAGUUGAGGUUCCACCAUAAAACCAAUUGACAAUAUGAGAAGUAGUCCAACCUCUUAUAAAUUCAUGCAAGGUCCAUCCUCGUAUCAAUGUGGGACUUAUUCUCAACAAUCUUGUCAAGUUUGAUCAUUCAGAAGUUCACCAUGUCACCUUCUCUACGUAUGUAAAGCUUAUCUGUUUUGAUUGCAUAAAUUGAUAAAGUCCAUAAUAUAAAAUAUUUUAUGCACUUUUUAUUUUUUAUGAAGAAAUUGUGUUUACGUAUUCUUCUGCCGACAAUCCUACAUGUAUGAAAUUAAUGAAUCAAUAGUUAGGAUUCUCAUUUAGUUGGCAAGGGCUAAGAUGAGUGGCUUAAAUUAUAAUAUGUCAGGAAAAGAUAGUGAUUUGAGCCAAGGGAGACAAAGUUGUCCCCUAUGUAUAGGACAUGUGAAUACAAAGGUAAAAAUAAACUAAAACAAAAUUAAAAGAAAAAGGAACAUUUAUAUACAUAUUCUCGGGUAAGGAUGUUUGGUCUCCUUGUGAUCUUGGUAAUAGUAGAAUGAGAUAUAAAUUAAUCAGUAAUUAUUUUUAAGCAAAAAAAAAAAGGGUUGUAUUAAAAAAAGCUUUGAGAACACCCAAGACCUCUAUAAUGAAAUAGAAAAGCAUUUUUUGCUUGGGAUUUUAAGCAAGAAGGCCGUGCAUGGUUGAGUCCUCGAGUGUGAGCAGAUGGGUAAAUAGGAAAGGGAAAUGGUAGAGAAAUCAUGUUUUAAGACUACAUGAUUUAAGUAGAUGAUUUCUUUGAUGAAGUUGGGGUUUUACCAUAAAUCCAAUUGACAAUAUGAGGAAUAGCCCAGUUUACUUAUAAGCCCAUGCAAGGUCCCCCUCCAUCAAUGAAAUAUUUAUUUUCAACACGCCCUCUCACGCAUGACAAAUUUUCAAGCUAAACUUGUGGACAACAUAAAUAUGGUAACGUGGAGUGCGUGUGACAUUGGACUUUACACGGGAAACAAUAUACUCUGAUACUAUUAAGAAGUUGGGGCUCCACCAUAAAAAAUUGAACUUACUUAUAAACCCAUGUAAUGUCCUCUCAUUAAUGUAGAAUUCAUUCUCAACACUUCCCUAGCAUCGAUUAUCCAUAAAAAAAAGUGCUUCAGUUGAUAAGAAGGUGAGUUUACAAAACCAUCUGCUUUCAUUCAUUUAUUUAAAGAAACGGCAAAGAUCUUGCAUGGUGACAAUGCAUGGCAUACAAAGCAUAUAUAAAAAUGGAAUUGUCAAUUUUACCCUUCAAACAUCUCAUGUCAUGUCCUAAAUCCAAACCUUCCCAUGUUGAAGCUAGCGGAUACUUCAUGCACUAUCCAAAUAUGUGUGAGAGAGAGAGAGAGAGAGCAUGUGUGCAUGAGAUGUAAUGGAAAGAGGGGGUGGUCCAAAAGGAUCAAUGUAGUGGUCGGGUUUUGGUCUCCCCUACAAAGGGUAGGAUAUUGAUUUUGUGAUAAAUGCUCUUACUUGUAGUUCAAUUUGUGUUUAAUCUAGCAGUAUGGUAGUAAAUUUUAUGUAACCCUAAUUUGGCCACAAAAGUAAUCUAAUAAUUAAGAUAUGCAAAUCAACUUUACCAUCCAUUCAUAUAUCAUAUAAUGUAAAUUGAUUACAUUAAUUAGAACUAAGGUUACAAUCAUUAAUCUCUAAACCCUAAAGCUUAACCACACUCGACUUUGUGUAUUUGACUUUUUUCUUUAGUUUAGCACAAGUAAAUAGCUAGCAAGUCACGACUGAAUUUCAAGGUUGCAGCGCGCAGAGAGAGAGAGAGAGAGAGAGAGAGAGGUGGUCAAAGUGUUAUUGAAAGGUCGUUUCAAUCACAGUUUAUUCAUCAGAAACAAGGGUCUGCAUCACUGUUGGAGGUAUCAGUUUGCAUACUACUAAGCACAACCAGUACGCCUUGGACUCCACCUUCUUGCGUUUUCAGCCUGUGGCUGACCUAGCAUUUAACCAUCCUCUCUCUCUCUCAACAAAUUAAGCUGACCUAGCAUUUAACCAUCCUCUCUCUCUCUCAACAAAUUAAGCUGACCUAGCAUUUACCCAUCCUCUCUCUCUCUCAACAAAUUAAGCUGCCAACAAGAUCCAUCUAUUCCAAUAUCAUUUUCCUUUUUCCCUUCUCCCUUUUCUGUUUUGUUAUAUCAAAUAUCUAUAUAUGUAUCAGUGUUUUAAAAAACUCAUCUCAAGGCACGCCUAGGCGGCUUUGGAGGCAAGGCUGCACCAUUUUCACCUUUGGUUUAAGGGAGUCGGCGAAAUACACGCCUAGGAGUGCCUGAGGCAUCAAUUUGGCGUUCCUUUUUUUUUAAGUUUCAAAAAUCUGGAAAUUUUUUAGAGUUGCAGAACUGUUUGAAGUUGCAGGCCAUGAACACCAAAAGGAGAUGAAGAAGAUGAAAAAGACGGCUAGGUUUUUUAGGCUGAGUUGGUGUUUUUAAUUUUUUUUUCUUUUUUUAAUGCUUAAACCGACCCCACUUUGCCACAUUUAUUACCCAAUUAUCUUCACUUUUUUUUAAACUAAUCACACUUUAAAGACAUUUAUUACCCACUAUCUCUUUUCUCUUCACUUUUUAGUGGGGUGUGCUAUCCACACAUCACUUUUUACUUUUCACACACUCCUUUUUAAUUUAUGUUCUUUGAUUUUCUUCAAUUCAUCCGAUCUGACGGCUGAAAAUUAGAAGGGUGUGUGAGAAGUAAAAAAGGGUGUGUGGAUAUCACAC
rnacentral:lncRNA from 1 species